rnacentral:misc_RNA from 1 species
AAGUCGUAACAAGGUUUCCGUAGGUGAACCUGCGGAAGGAUCAUUAAAAAAGGGUCGUAAGACCUAUUUUUAAACACUAUCGCCGCCUAUCAUCUAUGGGUAGGAUACUCUUGUCUAUGGGUGAGAUGGAGGAGGUAGGGUUUUUUAAAAUCCAAUUAUUAUUAUAAAAUAUAUCGUCUAAUGACGAACCAAAAAAAAUUAUUAAAACUUUCAACAAUGGAUCUCUUGGCUCUC